UAAGUUUCAACAACGGAUCUCUUGGCUCUCGCAUCGAUGAAGAACGCAGCGAAAUGCGAUAAGUAAUGUGAAUUGCAGAAUUCAGUGAAUCAUCGAAUCUUUGAACGCACCUUGCGCUCCUUGGUAUUCCUUGGAGCAUGCCUGUUUGAGUAUCA
rnacentral:rRNA from 6 species